GUAGGUGGCAAGCGUUGUCCGGAAUUAUUGGGCGUAAAGCGCGCGCAGGGCGGUUCUUUAAGUCUGAUGUGAAAGCCCACGGCUCAACCGUGGAGGGUCAUUGGAAACUGGGGGACUUGAGUACAGAAGAGGAAAGCGGAAUUCCAAGUGUAGCGGUGAAAUGCGUAGAGAUUUGGAGGAACACCAGUGGCGAAGGCGGCUUUCUGGUCUGUAACUGACGCUGAGGCGCGAAAGCGUGGGGAGCAAACAGGAUUAGAUACCCUGGUAGUCCACGCCGUAAACGAUGAGUGCUAAGUGUUAGGGGGUUUCCGCCCCUUAGUGCUGCAGCUAACGCAUUAAGCACUCCGCCUGGGGAGUACGGCCGCAAGGCUG
rnacentral:rRNA from 1 species